rnacentral:lncRNA from 1 species
GCCCCGCGCCCUCGUGACGUCAUCAGCCAGCGCCGCCCUUCGCCAACGGACGCACAUGAGCGUGCCUCAGCGUCACGUGACGCCGGCACCCGUUGCCGGGCAACGGGGACGGGACAGCGUGGCCUAAACUGAGCGCGGGGCUGGGCCUGGGAUUGGGCCUAACCCAGCCCGGCCUGGCUGUUCUCGGCCUCUGUCCCCGGCCUGGGAUAGCCCGGCUGUCCCCUGUUCCCAUCUCAGCCUGAUCCAACUGUCAUCAAACCCUGUUCCUUCCAACUGUCACCAGUCCCUGUCCCCUGUUCCUAUCUUAGUCUGGACCAGCUGUCCCUACCCUUUUCCUCAGCCUGGGCCACCACGGCUCUUCUCUGUCCUUAGCCCUUGUCCACAGCCUCUGUUCCUUGCACGGCUUCAUCCAGCCAUCUCCUGUCCCCAUCCCAGCCUGGUCCAGCUGUCCCCAUUUCUCCUGUCCCCAUUCCUGCCUGGUUGGUCCAGCUGUCCCCAUAUUCCAGUGAUCAGAUGGCUGCAGUAUUUCUCCUAUGAUUGUUGUCCCAAAAAAGUGUGCAAGAACUGAGACAAAAUAUUGGAGCUUCAGAGGCUCACUAAGGUGGCAAUUACCAAGAUGUGUGAAACACAAUUUAUCUACCUGGAAACUGGAAAUCUUGGAGCCAGGCUGGGAGAGCUGGGAAUGUCCAACCUUGAAAAGAGAAAGCUCCAGGGAGACCUCAGAGCCCCUUCCAGUGCCUAAAGGGGCUCCAGGAGAGAUGGAGAGGGACUUGGGACAAGGGAUGGAGUGAUAAGACACAGGGAAUGGCUUCAAACUGAGAGAAGACAGGGUUGGGUUAGGUGAGAUAUUGAACAAAAUUCUUUCCUAGGAGGGUGCUGAGGCCCUGAAAUGGAAGUCCCAGAGAAGCUGUGGCUGUCCCAUCCCUGGCAGUGUCCAAAGCCAGGUUGGACAGGACUUGGUAUAGUGGAAGGUGACCCUGACUGUGGCAGGGUUGGUAUGGGAUGAUUUUCAAGAUUACUUCCAAUGCAAACUAUUCCAGGAUUUCGGGAUCCUCUGUAUCGAGGUAAACCCGGUCCAGCUGUCCCCAGCCCCUGUCCCCAGCCCAGCCUGGUCUGUCUCCAUUCCCUGACUCCUAUUCCCUGUCCUCUUUCCAGCCUUAUCCAACUCUCCCAGCUGUUCCCAUCCCCUGUCCCUCUCCCAUCACCAGUGUCUUCCCACAGCCAGGCAUGAGGGGGAGAUUUUCCUGGUGAUCCAAAGGACAAUCUCCAGCAAGGAGACGUUAAUUCCACCCAUCAGCCUCGUGAUUCCUAAUAUCCCACACUUUGCCUGUCAUUUUUAAAAUGUUUUGCAGGAAAACCAGUCCCAAAGCUUUAAAUUUGCUUGUGGAAGUGAAGAAAAUCCUUAAGGAGCUUGUUUUCCAAAUAAUUUCGUUCUUCCCUGAGAGAAUAAACCCCAUAAACAAAGAGCA